rnacentral:lncRNA from 1 species
AUGGGGAACAGAGCUCCCUGCCCCCUCUUCUUCAGUGAGUGGAGCAAAAAGAUUGUCCUCUGCAAAAUGGCCAUGGAGUUAAAUGUAGCUGAAAUUGAGCAGCUCCACUUACAGCAAGGAACGUUUCAGCUCGAUGGAGAUGUGACUAUGCCUGUCUUGGGAACAUUCAUUUGUUGUAAUUGUUCACCUCUGAUCCCAGUGUGAGAUCUACCGUGGAGCAGCCAGAGUGGGCAUGGAGGCAGAGCUAGGGUCUAGCAGAGGGCAUCACCCCAGUGAGGUGAAACCAAUCAGGUAAUUCAAAACAUUUGUAAAUUAGCCUGAAAGCACAGAUUUAGUCUGUUCAUCACAGAAAGCCAGCUCUGUUCAGAGCUGAGGUAGGUUUAAACUGCAGUGCCUGUUCAAAGCUAUUUACCUUAUGUAGCUUUGAGCAGCACCUGUCAGGCAGGGUAAUGUUUAGGUGCGUAUGUUCGGCAUUUGUUCUUAAUGCUGGCAGUUCAAACUGCUUCAUUUUUUUUCUGAGUGUCAGAAGAGCAUUUGUCACUGCAGCCCCUUUCUGGGCCCAGAGUGUUGCCAUAAAUAUGCUGGACAUAGAGGACAAUUUUCAUGCCUCCUGCACAGCUUUAGAGACAGUCAAAACAGAUCUUUGAUAAGACAGAGGUGGCAACCAUCCAGCCUAACAUCCAGCUUGAGUUUGGAGCAAGAAGGAAGUGGAAAAGCAGCUUGAAAAGUGUCCUCAGACAGGUCACUGGCUAAAUACCUGCCCUCACACUCUGGUAAAUUCAGUGAAUCUGUCCAGUAGGGUUACUUGCAAAACCUAGUGAUGUGUGACAGAAAUUUGGUUCCUGGUGUGCAAUAAUGGGCAGACAUUUGCUUCCCCAGGUGCUUUCUAAAUGCAUGAUAUUAAAUGAAAAAUUCAAGUUUGCCUGCAUAACAGGACACUCAUUUGUGUCCUGUCACAAAUAUCGUCAUAUUUUAUCCCACCCCUCCAAUAUGAAAUAUUUCUCCCUUCCAAAAUGGCCAUGCUUCCUUCCUAUGUGCUAAAUGUUAUUUUAAAAAAAUGCAUAAAUUAUGAGCCAUUCUUCUUUCUCAACAACACAAAAAGUGAACAAUUUAUCAAUUAUUUUUGUUAAAGCUACGUUUUUUCCUAACUUAAGUGUAAUAUAUUAGAUUAUCUGUUGAUUUUACAUUUAUAUAUUAUUUAUAUAUUAAUAUUACAAAUAUAAUAUAUUUUUGCUCAUUUUACAUCUUUCUGACUGGAUGAUGCUAUAAUGUGUAUGCGUUCAAAAUAGAGGUUUUUUUCUGUUAAUUCAAAUUCUAAAAAAUGCUUUGUAAAAUUUUGGAAAUGCAAAACUCUUAUUUGGGCCAGUCUUAUAAAAUACACUCCUUGGGUUAAAUUUAGUAGUAACAACCUUCAUUGUAAGCAUCUCUUGGAUUUCAGGUGCUGUAAAAUUAAACACUUUGUCUUUCUUUUAUCACUUUCAACACCAAAAGAAUAGCUCUGCUUUCCAUGCUCCCACUGCUGCCAGCUCCUCCUCCCCUCUGGCUCCUGUGACACAAGAUGAAGUUGGAUGUGCCAGUGACAGCAUGCAUCAGUCAGGCACAGUAAGGUAUGUGCUGGGGAUGCUGCUGACAAGAUGGAUAUUCUUGGCAGGCUCCGUGACAUUUCUCCUUGCCCUUUGCUGAAGAAAGGAGGUCACUGGAACACCAUCAGGGCUUCAGGCAUCAACCUGGAUGCACAGUAUCACUCCCCCAUUUCCAUGUCAUGAAGCAGAGCAAUUGACCCUCCUGCUCAGAAUAUAUGGGAAGACAUGGGCAAAUCACAUCAAAUCGCAUUACCUGUGUUAUGCCUUGGGAAGAUGAGGAGCAACUAAGACUUUCCAGCAAACCAAAGGAAGGAGCAAUGUUUUCUUUAUGCUCUUUGCUGAACUGUGGAUCAAUGGGCAAAUAGAAAUGCUCUAAGGCAAGAAAGAAGAAUGAAACAGAUGGAAAACAAGAAAGAGAUAAAGGUUAAAUCUUCGCCCUAGUAAAGCUCCAAAAUUCCUGUUGACUGCAGUAGUAGAGAGCCAGAAAAGAAGAGAGGGUGGAGGAAAACAGGGAGAGGAAAAGGAAAUCAGGGAAGGAUGGCUCCAGAUGAUUUUAUCCCCAUUUUCCAUCUGAGUUCCCCCCUCCCACCAUCAGUCUCCACUUUCUCCAGCUCUCAUCUUUUUUCAUUGCUGAAGCAGUAAGCUGUCAUUUCUCAUCCGGUAUCUCCCAUCCAUCCAUCAGCAUGUCUGGGAUAGCUGGCAGCUAAUUCCGAUGGGUUAGCAACCCAUCAGUAUCCCUUGCCAGUUCCCACGGGGCAUGUAAACUGAUCAAGUUAACAAAUUCUGACAGGUGAGAGACAUUCAGCCUCAGUUGCUACCGGUAGCAAAGAGAGAUGUAAAGGGUUCCAUAUGGUAUUCAAUGGGGAGAUACAAUGCCAGAAGAGAAACGUCUCAUCGGCCUGAAUUCAGAUUGUUCUUUGAUCUACCUAAUAAUCUCAUGGGGCCUCUAUAACAUGACCCUCUUCCUAUUCUGCCCUAAUGGCAAAGGGUUAAGGGAGACCAGAAAUGCAUUCUGCUAUAAGCAUUCUGCCCAGUAGGUGUGGUCAGGUCAUGGUACAAAUGUUGCCAAGAACCCUUUCUUGAGAGGGCAGAAAUACAUGGCAGAACCAAGACAACAUUUUUGGCAGCUGUUUCUCAGGUACACUGAUGUGAAUGAAAGAUUAAAAGUCCCCUUUCUCAACUACCUAACACUUGAAUAAAUCAGAAUUUCACAAGAAGUGAACA